UGCAUGUCUAAGCACAAGCCGAAAAUGGUGAAGCCGCGAAUGGCUCAUUACAACAGCCUUGGUUUAUUUGAUCUUGAAAUCCUACUUGGAUAACUGUGGUAAUUCUAGAGCUAAUACACGCACACAAGCUUCAGCCUUGCGGCCGGAGCGCAUUUAUUAGUACAAAACCAAUCGGGCCUUGUGCCCGUUGUCUGGUGAAUCUGAAUAACUGAGCCGAUCGCACGGUCUCUGCACCGGCGACGUAUCAUUCAAGUGUCUGCCCUAUCAACUUUCGAUGGUAGUUUAUGUGACUACCAUGGUUGCAACGGGUAACGGAGAAUAAGGGUUCGACUCCGGAGAAGCAGCCUGAGAAACGGCUACUA
rnacentral:rRNA from 4 species